rnacentral:sRNA from 1 species
UUCUCUAUCAGUCAUGCUCAUGGUCUCCCCACCAGACCCGGAGCCGCUGGGAUCUUCCAGCGUUACAGACUGUCCUGGCGGUGUCUGCAACUCGGUAACCCCCCGGGUUUCGAUCUCUUCGCUCGCGUUUCUCUUCUAGUUCUCGGGAGCCGGGAGCCCCGGAGCCCAGUUCGCGAGAGGCAGCAGCGGCUGUAGCCAAGCACACCCGCCGGCGAGAUUUCUGUCCCGAUCGGGCUGCAACGACUCGCCCCGCCUCUAUACUUUUCCGGAGGGGCAACAAAACAAAUAAUUUAAAAAUAAAUCUCCAAGAAAACUCUGGAGAGCAGCCCGCCGCCUUUCCACCCUGGGUCAAAGUUCCCUGAGAGGGAACGACACUAGCCCCGAGAGUUUCCUUUUGCACAACGCGCUGGCCCGAAAGCCCAAGCGGAUCCGAACCGCCUUCUCCCCGUCCCAGCUUCUAAGGCUGGAACACGCCUUUGAGAAGAAUCACUACGUGGUGGGCGCCGAAAGAAAGCAGCUGGCACACAGCCUCAGCCUCACGGAAACUCAGGUAAAAGUAUGGUUUCAGAACCGAAGAACAAAGUUCAAAAGGCAGAAGCUGGAGGAAGAAGGCUCAGAUUCGCAACAAAAGAAAAAAGGGACGCACCAUAUUAACCGGUGGAGAAUCGCCACCAAGCAGGCGAGUCCGGAGGAAAUAGACGUGACCUCAGAUGAUUAAAAACAUAAACCUAACCCCACAGAAACGGACAACAUGGAGCAAAAGAGACAGGGAGAGGUGGAGAAGGAAAAACCCCUACAAAACAAAAACAAACCGCAUACACGUUCACCGAGAAAGGGAGAGGGAAUCGGAGGGAGCAGCGGAAUGCGGCGAAGACUUUGGACAGCGAGGGCACAGGGUCCCAAACCAAGGCCGCGCCAAGAUGGCAGAGGAUGGAGGCUCCUUCAUCAACAAGCGACCCUCGUCUAAAGAGGCAGCUGAGUGAGAGAGACAGACAGAAGGAGAAAGAGGGAGGGAGAGAGAGAAAGAGAGAGAGAGAGAGAGCGCGAAAGCUGAACGUGCACUCUGACAAGGGGAGCUGUCAGUCAAACACCAAACCGGGGAGACAGGAUGAUUGGCAGGUAUUCCGUUUAUCACAGUCCACUUAAAAAAUGAUAAUGAUGAUGAUAAAAACCACGACCCAACCAGGCACAGGACUUUUUUUUUUUGCACUUCGCUGUGUUUCCCCCCAUCUUUAAAAAUAAUUAGUAAUAAAAAACGAAAAUUUCAUAUCUA